UGAGGAAUAUUGGUCAAUGGGCGAGAGCCUGAACCAGCCAAGUAGCGUGCAGGAUGACGGCCCUAUGGGUUGUAAACUGCUUUUAUGCGGGGAUAAAGUGCGCGACGUGUCGUGCAUUGCAGGUACCGCAUGAAUAAGGACCGGCUAAUUCCGUGCCAGCAGCCGCGGUAAUACGGAAGGUCCAGGCGUUAUCCGGAUUUAUUGGGUUUAAAGGGAGUGUAGGCGGUUGGUUAAGCGUGUUGUGAAAUGUAGAUGCUCAACAUCUGACUUGCAGCGCGAACUGGCUGACUUGAGUACACACAACGUAGGCGGAAUUCAUGGUGUAGCGGUGAAAUGCUUAGAUAUCAUGAAGAACUCCGAUUGCGAAGGCAGCUUACGGGGUUGUUACUAACGCUUAAGCUCGAAGGUGCGGGUAUCGACCAGG
rnacentral:rRNA from 1 species